AGCUCAUUGAUGAAGAAGUCUUGAGUUCAUCAUUUUUUCUUCUCUAAUAGCUGAGAUGGCAGUCAAUGAGAGUGACUGCAGAAAGUUUCAGAAGGACACAUGGGAAUCAUUUAACCAGGCCAAUAAAAUCAGCUAUUUAUACACUUCCCCCGGAAGACAUAGCCCUUGCUUCACUGUCUGAAGGAGAGAAAAUGCAAAAGUGAUAAAGGCAUGAAAAAGUCAUAUUCCUGAGCUACAAGAGAGAAACUGAGGACAGUGGAGAUGAGAAUAAAAUCCCUA